rnacentral:rRNA from 1 species
GAUGAACGCUAGCUACAGGCUUAACACAUGCAAGUCGAGGGACCGGCGCACGGGUGAGUAACACGUAUCCAACCUGCCCCUUACUCGGGGAUAGCCUUUCGACAGAAAGAUUAAUACCCGAUAUAAAGGAUGGGGAUGCGUUCCAUUAGGUUGUUGGUGAGGUAACGGCCCACCAAGCCUUCGAUGGAUAGGGGUUCUGAGAGGAAGGUCCACCGCACUGGAACUGAGGCCAGGUCCAAACUCCUACGGGAGGCAGGAGUGAGGGAGAUUGGGCAAUGGGCGCUAGCCUGAAACAGCCAAGUAGCGUGAAGGAUGAAGGCUUAUGGGUCGUAAACUUCUGUUAUAUAAGAAUAUGUAUUAUAUGAGUAAGGAUCGGCUAACUACGUGCCAGCAGCCGCGGUAAUUC